GUCAGGGUAGCUCAGUUGGUUAGAGCACAGGACUCAUAAGCCUGGGGUCGAGAGUUCGAAUCUCUCCCCUGACA
rnacentral:tRNA from 2 species